AUUGAACGCUGGCGGCAGGCUUGACACAUGCAAGUCGAGCGGGGUGAUGGUGCUUGCACUAUCACUUAGCGGCGGACGGGUGAGUAAUGCUUAGGAAUCUGCCUAUUAGUGGGGGACAACAUCUCGAAAGGGAUGCUAAUACCGCAUACGUCCUACGGGAGAAAGCAGGGGAUCACUUGUGACCUUGCGCUAAUAGAUGAGCCUAAGUCGGAUUAGCUAGUUGGUGGGGUAAGGGCCUACCAAGGCGACGAUCUGUAGCGGGUCUGAGAGGAUGAGCCGCCACACUGGGACUGAGACACGGCCCAGACUCCUACGGGAGGCAGCAGUGGGGAAUAUUGGACAAUGGGGGGAACCCUGAUCCAGCCAUGCCGCGUGUGUGAAGAAGGCCUUAUGGUUGUAAAGCACUUUAAGCGAGGAGGAGGCUCUUUUGGUUAAUACCCAAGAUGAGUGGACGUUACUCGCAGAAUAAGCACCGGCUAACUCUGUGCCAGCCGCCGCAGUAA
rnacentral:rRNA from 1 species